UACGGAGGGUGCAAGCGUUUGUCCGGAUUUAUUGGGUUUAAAGGGUGCGUAGGCGGCCCGAUAAGUCAGUGGUGAAAGCCUCCAGCUCAACUGGAGAACUGCCAUUGAUACUGUCGGGCUUGAGUACAGACGAGGUUGGCGGAAUUGAUUGUGUAGCGGUGAAAUGCAUAGAUACAAUCAAGAACUCCGAUUGCGUAGGCAGCUAACUAGGCUGUAACUGACGCUGAGGCACGAAAGCGUGGGGAGCGAACAGG
rnacentral:rRNA from 1 species